GUCACUAGACAUGACGUUUCGAUUAAUAACAAAUCUUUUGAACAUUUCGACAACUUCGUAAAUAUUCAUGGCAUAAUAUUGUAUAGUUUAAAUGUAAAUUACAAAAUGCUAAUAUAUUUUUCAUUCGAGACUCACCGACUUGACAAAAGAACAUGGUUACCCUAUGCCGUUGAAGUUUUACGAGGAAAAAACCCCAGGCACUGAGGCAUCCGUUCAUUCUAUUUAAAUCCCGAUAGCAACAAGCCGACCUCAUCCAAUGUUCUAGAACCAUCUGCUUCUAACGCCCUUAGAUUGUAUUUGAAGGUUAAUUAUAAUAGACAAAAUAAUCAUUAUAUUUCGAGACAAAACAAUGUUUAUUAAUAUAUCUGUUAGUAAGUCUUUUCUACUCUAUUUUUGUUUGUUUGUUAUAAAAAUAAAUAAACAUAAAUAGUAGUAGAACAUAAUUCGCUCUCUUAAUAAA
rnacentral:lncRNA from 1 species